AGGACCCCGGGGAGGGCGGACGAGAGCGGCGCGGGCCACGCGGGCGCCCCGCCAGGUCAGAAGUCCUUCAGAUAACUUCUCCAGCAAGGUGUCGUCAGGGCUGCCUUCCUUCUGGACAUUCUAAGGGGAAAUCCAUUUCCUUGCCUUCCCCAGCUCCUGAGGCCACCUGCUCUUCUUGGCUCUGAACUCUCCGUCAAUCUUCAAAGCCAGUAAUGUUGGCCGGUCCUCACACUGCCAUCGCUUCAGUUUUCUCUUCUGCUGUCCUCUCCCACUUGGACAGGUGGUAGGUAUUUUGAAGAUCCUGCUCUGUAAGAGACACGAGUGAUCUGACCCUGCUUUCCCUGAGGGCUGGAGAGGUCCAUCGGUUGCAUAUUUGGAACUUCAAAUUCAAACCAGUAAUCAUCACUCUGCACCCUGCUGCUAUCGUUCUCCUGUAGUACACUUUCUGUCCUGCACGUCGGCCCUGUGUGCCCCCUUAUCCAGCACAGAGCUAAAGUCCUCGAUGUGGGUACGUGUCCCUGAGUCAACAACCACUUCAUACAGCUGCUGCCUCUCACUCUCCUGGGCUGUGCAGUCCUGGUAUUGCAGUAAAUACAGCUCAGUUGAAGUUUUUCCUACUUGUUUCCUUCACACGUUGGCUC